AAUCCACCACAUCCUUUCAUUUCCUGAAACAUACCACGCACUUUCUCAUCUGGGGCCUUCAUUCAUUGCUGCAUUUGGGCUGCUGGAAAGUCUCGUCUCAUUUUCAGAUUACCAUUCAAAGGCGGUGCAAGUCUAUCAAUGGAGAAUCCCUCUGGGACAGUGAUGAGGAACUAGGUGCAAAGCAGCAUGGGAAGACCUGGGGUAGGCGCGGAUUCCUGGCUUCUACUGAAAGAAGAAAAGGCACUGUUCAUUUCAAAGAAUAAUCCUGGUCGGAGGAUGGAGUCAAAUUGAUGGUGGGCUUGCGUUAGGACCGAAUACCGAAUAACUAGAGCUCAAGCAGAAGCAUCCUACUUCCAGUCAGUUCAGAAUCCCAAACAAAUUAAAGUGGGAAGAAAAGCAUCAUGAAGCAGAAAGUUCUCCCCAUUCUUGCCAGCAGAGCAGGAGCUACCUUGCAGGAGACAAAGAAGGGCCUGAACU
rnacentral:lncRNA from 1 species